rnacentral:rRNA from 1 species
CCUACGGGAGGCAGCAGUGAGGAAUAUUGGUCAAUGGGCGGAAGCCUGAACCAGCCAUGCCGCGUGAAGGAGGACGGCCCUAUGGGUUGUAAACUGCUUUUGCUGGGGAGCAAUAAGGGUUUCGAGACCACCCAAUGCAAUGUACCCUAUGAAUAAGGAUCCGGCUAAUUCCGUGCCAGCAGCGCGGUAAU